rnacentral:rRNA from 1 species
AUUGAACGCUGGCGGCAUGCCUUACACAUGCAAGUCGAACGGCAGCACGGGAGCAAUCCUGGUGGCGAGUGGCGAACGGGUGAGUAAAGUAUCGGAACGUGCCCAGUCGUGGGGGAUAACGUAGCGAAAGUUACGCUAAUACCGCAUACGAUCUAUGGAUGAAAGCGGGGGAUCGCAAGACCUCGCGCGGUUGGAGCGGCCGAUAUCAGAUUAGGUAGUUGGUGGGGUAAAGGCUCACCAAGCCGACGAUCUGUAGCUGGUCUGAGAGGACGACCAGCCACACUGGGACUGAGACACGGCCCAGACUCCUACGGGAGGCAGCAGUGGGGAAUUUUGGACAAUGGGCGAAAGCCUGAUCCAGCCAUGCCGCGUGCAGGAUGAAGGCCUUCGGGUUGUAAACAGCUUUUGUACGGAACGAAAAGGUUUGACUUAAUACGUUGGACUCAUGACGGUACCGUAAGAAUAAGCACCGGCUAACUACGUGCCAGCAGCCGCCGUAAUAC